rnacentral:rRNA from 1 species
CCUACGGGAGGCAGCAGUGAGGAAUAUUGGUCAAUGGACGCAAGUCUGAACCAGCCAUGCCGCGUGCAGGAAGACGGCCCUAUGAGUUGUAAACUGCUUUUGUACGAGGGUAAACGCAGAUACGCGUAUCUGUCUGAAAGUAUCGUACGAAUAAGGAGCGGCUAACUCCGUGCCAGCAGCCGCGGUAAUACGGAGGAUUCAAGCGUUAUCCGGAUUUAUUGGGUUUAAAGGGUGCGUAGGCGGUCGGAUAAGUUAGAGGUGAAAUCCCGAGGCUCAACUUCGGAAUUGCCUCUGAUACUGUUCGGCUAGAGAGUGGUUGAGGUAGGCGGAAUGUAUGGUGUAGCGGUGAAAUGCUUAGAGAUCAUACAGAACACCGAGUGCGAAGGCAGCUUACCAAGCUACUUCUGACGUUGAGGCACGAAAGCGUGGGGAGCGAACAGGAUUAGAUACCCUGGUAGUC